GAAACUCAAAGGAAUUGACGGGACCCGCACAAGCAGCGGAGCGUGUGGUUUAAUUCGUUGCUACACGAAGAACUUACCUGGGUUUGACAUAUAGGUUGUAGGGAACUGAAAGGGACCGACCCUUCGGGGAGCCUAUACAGGUGUUGCAUGGCUGUCGUCAGCUCGUGUCGUGAGAUGUUCGGUUAAGUCCGCUAACGAGCGCAACCCUCGUCGUAUGUUAUAUGUGUCAUACGAGACUGCCGGUAAAAAGCCGGAGGAAGGUGAGGAUGAUGUCAAGUCAGCAUGACCUUUAUAUCCAGGGCUACACACACGCUACAAUGGUCUGUACAAUGGGUAGCCAAGCCGCGAGGCGGAGCCAAUCCUGAAAGCAGGCCUCAGUUCAGAUUGCAGUCUGCAACUCGACUGCAUGAAGCCGGAGUUGCUAGUAACCGCAGGUCAGCAAUACUGCGGUGAAUACGUUCCCGGGUCUU
rnacentral:rRNA from 1 species